CUGUCUUAGGCUCCUGUUUCAGACGAAUUCUUGAUGACAGGUGGACUUUUCCCAUACCCUGGAUUUGGUGGACCAAAGUCAAAACUAGAAUUGACGAAGCUGGAGAGGGUGUGGACCUGCUUCCCUUCACCCACUCCCGCCGGAAUUAGGGGAGGUGGAGGCCUUUCGCCUUAGGCGGCCCCGGGGGCGCUAACGAGAAGACGCUUUGCAAAGUGCAGACUGAAAACAAGGCUGCCAGACAUGAACUACAUGGGCCAACCUUGCCUAAACCACAAGGCCACGUCAUUGAAGAGAUGGUCUCUACAAGAUCGAUAAUGUCCUACUGAACCUUACUAAGCCCGGCAAGUUUCAUUUUCUCUGCCAGGAGACACUGACAGCCAGCACCAGGUCAGUCCUCAUCUGCAACCAACUCCACAACACGAGAGGCUUUCAGAUUCAGAAGUACCCCGGGAUUUCUGCCAUGUUCAAGAAACAGCACCAUCUGAUCUGAAUGGAGCUGGGGCUGCAGCAAGGGAUAGGGGAGAGACCAGGCCACAGGGCAGGUAUGGCUGCUUGAUUUGGUAAACACUGGGGAACUCAUGAAGAUUUUUAAGCAGGAAAGUGCCCGAUCAUACUGGUAGGAGGGGAAGAGCUGGAAUGGAAGGGAAGAGGCUGAAGGCAGGUUCACUUUGGAGGCUGCUGCAAGGGUUCAGGUGAAAAUAUCAAGAGCCUGAAUUAGGGCUAGAAUGUGGAUUAAAACCACAGUCCUUCAGUCCUCCACAAUAGAGAUGAGCUUUACCAAUUAAACUACUACAGAUCUUAUCUGAAUUGGAAUUAUAAGAUACUUUAAAUGUGAAUGUCUAGAGGUCCCUGUUAAUCAAACAUUAAACAACUACUGUCUCACCAGGCCUUGAAAUGUCCUGUGCUCAAUAAAUGUGUCCAGAGGUCCUGAGCUGGACAAACAGAAUAGAGGUCAAAGGGGCUCAUGUUGAGUAAAUGUUUGAGAGGCGAUGAAGAAAACUACAGAGGUUCUUGUAAGCAUCAUAAGAAAGGUCAGGGGCAUUUGUUAAACAAACCUGAAGAUGAAUGAAGACAAUCCCAAAGGAAUAUGUCAGAGAAUUUGCAAACCCACUCAUCAGGGAUGUUCCCCAUCUCAGACAUACCAUUAAAGAGGGCACAAAGCCUGCAGCAAGCCAGGAGGGAGGACUGUGCAGUGGUGGUCACCUAAGAGGCACCUGCUGAGACCUGACCCUCCACUUUGGUGAUCGCCCAACUAAAUGACAAACCCCAGAGGCUCCUCCUCAGCUCUCAAUCCCUCUGGCCCCUCCACAAUGUCUGAAUGCACUUCUUGGAGUCCUUUAUGAACUUGUCACUUCCAUCAGGAGGUGAGAAAACAAAUUUUAGUUGGGUAAGAGUUAAAAAAAAUAAGAAGAAUAAAAUGAAAAGUUAUUUUUCAAGAUCAAAGAAAAUCAGAUACUUUGCUAUAGAUGAAACCUAAGACUACCAAACACAUAUCCUAUGAAGUCCAAACUGGCAGCACAAAGAGAUUUCAGAUAGAAUAAAAAGGCUAUCCUAGAGGUUACUCCUAUGCAAGCUUCAGCUAGAUAUGCCAAAUGGCCAUAGUAUGAUAAGCCCAAGUCAACAGUAGUCCUGAAAACCCUAAAGAAUACCUGUCCCUAGCUGAGACUCUUAAAGUUUCACUCACUAAGUUUACUCUUCAGGAACUUCAGUCCUCCAGAGAGGUCCUAUGCCAGCUGAGUCCCAAAACUCAGAGGCAACAAUCUCUUCAAGAACAACAACCAGAUGUGUCCCGUUUUCCCAUAAUGUUGACACCCCUUUUCAACAUGAACAAGUUAGGGUGGUCACUGCCUAGACAUCCCUA